CAGCAGCCGCGGUAAUACGUAGGGUGCAAGCGUUAAUCGGAAUUACUGGGCGUAAAGCGUGCGCAGGCGGUUAUAUAAGACAGAUGUGAAAUCCCCGGGCUCAACCUGGGAACUGCAUUUGUGACUGUAUAGCUAGAGUACGGCAGAGGGGGAUGGAAUUCCGCGUGUAGCAGUGAAAUGCGUAGAUAUGCGGAGGAACACCGAUGGCGAAGGCAAUCCCCUGGGCCUGUACUGACGCUCAUGCACGAAAGCGUGGGGAGCAAAUGGGAUUAGAGACCCGUGUAGUCCCUGUCUCUUAUAC
rnacentral:rRNA from 1 species